AGAUAGGUGGUCGGGGUGUAGGGUGUGGUCGGAAAAUAGGCUUCUGGGGAGAGCGACCCGGUGGUCGGGGCUGAGGGUGUUGUCGGAAAUUAGGCUUCGGCUUCUGGGGAGAGCGUCCAAAACGUCCG